rnacentral:rRNA from 1 species
UACGUAGGGACCAAGCGUUGUUCGGAUUUACUGGGCGUAAAGCGUGCGUAGGCGGUUUGUUAAGUCCGCUGUGAAAGCCCUGGGCUCAACCUGGGAAUUGCAGUGGAUACUGGCAAGCUAGAGUGCGGUAGAGGAUGGUGGAAUUCCCGGUGUAGCGGUGAAAUGCGUAGAGAUCGGGAGGAACACCCGUGGCGAAGGCGGCCAUCUGGACCAGCACUGACGCUGAGGCACGAAAGCGUGGGGAGCAAACAGG